rnacentral:rRNA from 1 species
AACGCGAAGAACCUUACCUGGCCUUGACAUCCUAGGAAGUCUGCAGAGAUGCGGAUGUGCCUUCGGGAACCUGGAGACAGGUGCUGCACGGCUGUCGUCAGCUCGUGUCGUGAGACGUUGGGUUAAGUCCCGCAACGAGCGCAACCCUUGUCCUUAGUUGCCAGCACGUAAUGGUGGGAACUCUAAGGAGACCGCCGGUGACAAACCGGAGGAAGGUGGGGAUGACGUCAAGUCAUCAUGGCCCUUAUGGCCAGGGCUACACACGUGCUACAAUGGUCGGUACAGAGGGCUGCCAAGCUGCGAAGCGGAGCCAAUCCCAUAAAGCCGAUCGUAGUCCGGAUCGGAGUCUGCAACUCGACUCCGUGAAGUCGGAAUCGCUAGUAAUCGCGAAUCAGCCAUGUCGCGGUGAAUACGUUCCCGGGUCUUGUACACACCG